CGUAGUUCUGAUGACUACUUGUAUGACAUCAUGAAAUGGCGGUUAUUUACUGUAAUGUUCUUUCGUCGCGUGCAGUGACUUCAGAGUUGGUGCUAGCGAGGCAGCAGUUGGGGAAUGACUUGCAGCAAGCGCGUGUGGAAGCUACCCAGCUGAGGGCACAGUUGGAACAGCUGCUACAGUCACAGCCGCCACUUGUGGAGAAACUGUCACAAUGCAUACAGACCGAAGCUGAAAGUCCUCCAGAGCCAAUAUCUG